GGAUAUGGGAAUGUGUGAACUUAAAACACGAGAUGUGCAUUGAUUAAAAAAAAAAAAGCAUUGCUGGAAUCACAUCAUUCCUCUUCAAAGCACAAUGGACUUGAUAUAUGUUAAAAGAAUGAAUGGACUUUUGUCACCCAAAACAGGAUGUAGUUUCGUAAUGCAGGAGCCUGUUAUUUAUACAUGCAUAAAAAAGGGCAUAAAAUAUUUGGUCCCACUUUUUCCUUGGAUUAUAUGUCUUGUUUUUCCUUUGCGGUAUUUUCUGUUAUCACUGUUCUUGCUUUAACUUUCUCCUUGGUAUUAGCAUGUAAUUCCCAUAGGCUUUCUUGGAGAUCUUUCAGUUCUCCUGAAGUUCAUAUGAUUUUAUGCAGCUGGCCACAUGUUUUUAGCUUGGGUUUCAUUUGUAAGCACAUUAUUUACACCUUGCAGAGGGCAGAGGAAGCUUACAUUC
rnacentral:misc_RNA from 1 species